rnacentral:rRNA from 1 species
UGGGUAGUCCGCACGAGCGCACCUCACUUUUAGUUGCCACCAUUUAGUUGGGCACUCUGAAAGAACUGCCAGUGAUAAGCUGGAGGAAGGUGGGGAUGACGUCAAGUCCUCAUGGCCCUUAUGUGUUGGGCUACACACGUGCUACAAUGGCAUUUACAAUAGGAAGCAAGAUGGCGACAUUAAGCAAAUCCUAAAAAAAUGCCUCAGUUCGGAUUGUACUCUGCAACUCGAGUACAUGAAGCUGGAAUUACUAGUAAUCGUGGAUCAGCGUGCCACGGCGAAUACGUUCCCGGGUCUUGUACACACCGCCCGUCACACCAUGGGAGUUGGUUCUACCUUAAGGCAAAGAUUAAAACCUUUGACCACGGUAUAGUCAGCGACUGGGGUGAAGUCGUAACAAGGUAGCCGUAGGGGAACCUGCGGCUGGAUUACCUCCUUUCU